rnacentral:rRNA from 1 species
CCUACGGGGGACAGCAGUGGGGGAUAUUGCACAAUGGGGGGAACCCUGAUGCAGCGACGCCGCGUGGGUGAAGGAGUGCUUCGGCAUGUAAAGCCCUAUCGGCAGGGAAGAAGCAAGACGGUACCUGACUAAGAAGCCCCGGCUAACUACGUGCCAGCAGCCGCGGUAAUACGUAGGGGGCGAGCGUUAUCCGGAUUCACUGGGUGUAAAGGGAGCGUAGACGGCCAAGCAAGCCAGGGGUGAAAGCCCGGGGCCCAACCCCGGGACUGCCCUUGGAACUGCAUGGCUGGAGUGCGGGAGGGGCAGGCGGAAUUCCUAGUGUAGCGGUGAAAUGCGUAGAUAUUAGGAGGAACACCGGUGGCGAAGGCGGCCUGCUGGACUGUGACUGACGUUGAGGCCCGAAGGCGUGGGGAGCAAACAGGAUUAGAUACCCGUGUAGUC